rnacentral:rRNA from 1 species
UACGUAGGGGGCAAGCGUUGUCCGGAAUUAUUGGGCGUAAAGAGCGUGUAGGCGGUCCGGUAAGUCGGCUGUGAAAGUCCAGGGCUCAACCCUGGGAUGCCGGUCGAUACUGCCGGACUAGAGUUCGGAAGAGGCGAGUGGAAUUCCCGGUGUAGCGGUGAAAUGCGCAGAUAUCAGGAAGAACACCUAUGGCGAAGGCAGCUCUCUGGGACGGUACUGACGCUGAGACGCGAAAGCGUGGGGAGCGAACAGG